rnacentral:rRNA from 1 species
AGUGAACGCUGGCGGCAGGCCUAACACAUGCAAGUCGAACGGCAGCACAAGAGAGCUUGCUCUCUGGGUGGCGAGUGGCGGACGGGUGAGGAAUGCAUCGGAAUCUGCCCAUUUGUGGGGGAUAACCUCGGGAAACCGGGACUAAUACCGCAUACGACCUACGGGUGAAAGCAGGGGAUCUUCCGACCUUGCGCAGAUGGAUGAGCCGAUGCCGGAUUAGCUAGUUGGAGGGGUAAAGGCCCACCAAGGCGACGAUCCGUAGCUGGUCUGAGAGGAUGAUCAGCCACACUGGGACUGAGACACGGCCCAGACUCCUACGGGAGGCAGCAGUGGGGAAUAUUGGACAAUGGGCGCAAGCCUGAUCCAGCCAUGCCGCGUGUGUGAAGAAGGCCUUCGGGUUGUAAAGCACUUUUGUUGGGAAAGAAAAGCAGCCGGUUAAUACCCGGUUGUCAUGACGGUACCCAAAGAAUAAGCACCGGCUAACUUCGUG